UUUUUUUUUUUUUUUUUUUUGUCUUUUUGCCAUUUCUAGGGCCGCUCCCAUGGCAUAUGGAGGUUCCCAGGCUAGGGGUCAAACUGGAGCUGUAGCCUCUGGCCUAUGCCAGAGCACAGAAACUCGGGAUCCGAGCCACGUCAGCGACCUACACCACAGCUCACGGCAACGCCAGAUCCUUAACCCACUGAGCAAGGGCAGGGAUCGAACCCGCAACCUCAUGGUUCCUAGUCGGAUUCGUUAACCACUGAACCACGACAGGAACUCCAGGGCUGAGCUAUUUUUAAAUGUGUUGUGGUAGACGGUAAUGUUGAGAGUAGUUGAAUUCCUUCAUAAUUUGGUACAGAUAAUAGACAUUUAAAAUUAAACUAUAGCAUAAAUGUUGUUUCAACAUGGUGUUAUCUUACUAUGCUAGGUAGUAUUUUAAAAUUUAUACUGCCUUGUCUUAACUCUGUGUAUCUUAAUAAAAACAUAUAACCUUAAUAAAACAUUAUUCUGUGUAUGCAAUAUACAAAAUAGGAUGCCUAAAUACCCACAGCUUUUGAAAGAGGUUAAAUCCAUCAACUACAUUAGUAAAAGUUAUUAAGCUGAAAAAAAUCAGAAUUAGAAAAUCCUAGGAUUUGCUUGUAUUGAUAUACCUUGAAAGUAGAAAAGAAUAGAUUCAAUUUUGGUUAUGAUCCUAUGAUAGAGAAACGAUCAAAACUAUGUUCAGUAGAAAAUGAUAGUUUUAUCUCCAACAUUUAUGUUACCUCAACAACAACUGGUAAUUAAAGACCAUUCAUCCAAAGCUCAGUUCAAAUGGAAUCUUGCAAGAUCUCAUAUCAGUGAGAUGAAAAAAUCUCCAGGCGAACAAAGAUAGAGGGCCAUGAAAAAAAGGAAUCUUUGUGAUAUGGGUGUAUGAAAAGAAUAAAGGAUCAUCUUUUAAACUGUCAAAAAUUCAAAACUGGAGGCAAAAAAGGAAAAUAAAUUAUUAUAUAAUGGAAAAGAUUCUGAGGCAUAUUUAAUAAAAUAUCAUGAGAUUGUUGAAAGCAAAGCAGCACUCUUGACAUUAGGUGAACACCUGCUCUGUGAGCAUUUGGACCAUCCCAUUUAGGCAAAUUUUCUCUCAUACCUUCUCAUUUUCUCUGUCUCUCGGUUUUUCUCUUUCUCUUCUAUUCCUUGCUGUGUGUGCUCCUUUUAACCUACAGUGGUUGUCUGAUCUUUGAUAAUUUCAAACUAUUACCUGUAGAAAGUUCUUCUUUGUGGGAAGUAUGAUUCAAAUAAAUCAAAAUAGGAGAAAGAAAAACCAGAUAUUUUAAGAAUCUAUUAACUGAAUACAUUCUAGGGUAGGGCAUCUCUUAAGGCUGAUGAAAGAAGCUCUCUGUAUUUGCUUUCAUUUGAGAUGUUAGAGGUGAACAUAGAGUAAUAUGAGAACAGAGAAGCGGUAUGUACCUGGACAUCAAGACAUCAAGAAGUUCUACAGAGUUGUCACUUGAGCUGAGAAUUAAAAAAUGAUACAUGUUUAAAGUAAUAUAAUUAAACUCUAUCAUCAUUUAUACAAUAUUUAAAUGUCAUAAAUGAAUUUUAAAUUUAACAAGACUAAAAUACACCUAAAUUUCUCUCUAAGAAUAUGUUCAUUCCCUCUACAGUUGCUUUGGCAACUCAUGCAAACAUAAAUACUGUUUUUCUCAUUCCUGACAUGCUCCACCAUCACAUCCCAAAGAAAAUCUUAUCGCUUCGGUCUCCAAAAUAUAUCUCCAAUUCAACUGUUUCCAUCAUCUUAACAGACAUAUGCUCAGCAUGGCAUGAUCCUGACCUGAGCAACCACAGUAUUUCUGCUGAACGAUCUGAUUCUACUCUUCAUCUUUUAAAUUUAUUCUCUACUUGCCAGCCAGCCGUAGUAUUUAUAAAGCAAAAAUCAAAGCAUACCAUUUCUGUUAUCACAAUUAGAGAAAUAUUUAAACUCUUCACCUUUCCUAUAAGAAGCUGGACCCACUACCUCUCUGAGCACAUCUUAUUCUACUUUUGUCCUUGUUCACAGGACUGUGGUCACUUUGACCUUUCUAUGACUCAGGCAUACUAGGGCUGACCAAUUUGUCGUAUUAUUUUAGAUCUGUAAAAUUCAUUCCUUCUUUAUUGAUUAUUAUUGUGAGUAUAUCAUUCUGCAUAUUUGGCAAAACCUGUAACUGUACACAUCAAUUUUUACUGUACCUAAAUUAUACAUGCAUAUAUGCAUACCUAUCAAUAUAUAUAAAGUACUAUUUAAAAUCUUUGGAGUGUUUUCAUUAAAGGGCUGACCUAUCCUUUAUUUCAUGAUUAUUUGGAAAUUAGAUGGAAAAUGGGGACAAGGUGGGCAUGGUGGCAGAACUAAGGAGGAGGAGAUCAGUUGAGAGGCUAUUUAAACAGUGGAGGCAGAGAAGUUCUGGAUUUGGAUUGGCGUUAGUCCAUGAAAAGUAGGGAAAUGAACUGGUACAGGGUAGGUUUUUGAAGUUGAGUGCUAGGACAUGUUGAUGAAUAAAACAUGUGUGAGGGAUUAUAUAAAAAAGAAUCAAGUGCCCAUCUUUUUUGUUCCAACUAUUGCAUUUUUCAAUAUUGCUUGUUAUGUCUUUUCCCAAGAGAUUACAGCUCUUGGCAAGGAGAGAAAGGAAGGGUAAGAAUAGUGAGCCCUUCCAUAGUGGUUGCUUUUUUUUUUACUGUAUAUGUCCAACCAAUAGACAGACAUAUCUAAUUUUCCUCUUCUUUUUGAGAACUCAUUCCCAUGUAUUUCACUUUGAAGGCACUAUGGCCAAUUAACUGAAUACUUAACAGCUUUCUUGUCUUUUAUUGUCUAAAGUGAGAGUGGGUCUUAUGGUUACUUAUGAUUAAUGAAUCUAAAUUAUUUUUAACUUUGCUCCCAUGCUCAUUUUAUUUAAAAAAUUUUUAUUAUAGUUGAUAUUAAGUUAUCUUUAGUUUGAAGUUUGUAUUGAUUUUUUGAAUUAGAAAAUUCUACCAGUAGUGCUUUGCAAUAUUUUGAAAUCAUCCAUAUUCUCACUAUGCUUUUGCUUAUAGCACUUGGUUUGAUAAGUGAAAUAAUGGCCAUUGUGUAAUUUAUAGUGUCUACCUUCUCUUUGUUUGAUUUCGCUCUAACAACAUUUUUUGUGUGUGUGAAUUUUAGUGCUAUAACAGAGAUUGCUUGUUCCAGGUAAUGUUUUAUACCUCCACAAGGGCAUAUAUAUAUAUAUAUAUAUAUUUUUUUUUUGAGGCAGCAUAUCAAAGGCAUUUGACACAUUUUUUCCUAUAACAUUUUGAAAUUUGUAAAAAAAAGAGAAGUUUAAAUUAUAAUGACAUUUAGGGAUAAGAACCAGUCCAUUAGAUUAGCAAAUGGUUUGUGCUUUUGAUUGAAUCUUUCUUGCUCUCUCUCUGCAAUGACAGAUUGCUUACUCUUCAGCCUCAUAGCUCAUGUCCCAUGUUAGGAAAUAGCAGCUGUAGGAGAGAGGAGUGCUAUGCAAUGGUGUUAAGGCAAAAGGAACUGAAGUCUAAAGUUUAAGGAAACCUAGAUAUUAUUCUGCACUCUUAUCCACGCCUUCCUUUCCUUGAAUGCCAGCUCUUUCUUGAUCUGAAACUUCAAGAUGGGUGUAUCCCUCUAAGUCUUCGUUUCUUCUGAUAUAAUAUGUGCAAUUGCAUCCCAGAUCUUUCAAAAGCUGGAGACGUUCAUAUUUAGAGAUAUGUAUCAAUACAAUACCAAAAAAUUUUAUAAAUGUCAUUUUUUAUAGGUCUCAUAUUUUUAAAAACUAAGAUAUAGAUUCUUUUAGACUAGUAUUUAUUCAUAAUUUUGGGCAAAAAGACAAAGAAAAAGAGGAUAUUAUUUAACCUUAUGAGACUUGGAGCUUGAUGAGAUUGGUAAAGAUUUUCAUUUUUAUCCCAAUUAUGAAAGCAGGUCUCUUGCCUCAUAACUAUAAUCCCCUUAAACUCCCUCUGUAUGCACAUAAAAAAUGACCUUAAAUUUUAUUUGGCCUAUAUUAACAUCAAAAUAAUUUCACAAUAUUGUACAGGAGAAAUUACAUCUCACAUCUGGUACUUAUAUGGGUCGAAAAUGUCUGCUGUCACUAUCAAUAUCUCAAAUUUAAUUUUGCCGAAUAUUUUCUUGUGUCCAUUUCUUAUUUUACUACUGUUGAUCUGGACUAAUACAUAUUGGCUUUGUUAUCUUUCUCCUGCUCCAAAAUUCUAGAAGAAUAAAAUGCAUUAUGCUUAUUCUUCCAAGUGAGUAUAUUUCUCAUCAUAUUUGUUCAGAAAAUGCUUUAUCUUGUUCAUACUGUUUUUUCUUUCCACCCUUCAUUCUCUCUGCCUAAUAACUUCACCUCUCACUUCUGUACCUUCUUAAGCCCCCAUUUCUUCUAAAAAUUCCUGCACAAAUAUGGCCUCUGAAAACACCAUUAUCUCUAUGCCACUGGUGUGCAUUUGUUUCACUUAAAACUCCCAUCCCUUUACACUGAGCAAUGAUUUGUUUACUUAUCUAAAUCUCCUACUAGAUGGAAGGCAGAGCUGAGAUGAUUUCAGCUCUCACAGAGCAGUGCCCUUAACCUCCAAAAAAAAUACUUUAAAAGAUUGUAAGAAAGAAUAAAUUG
rnacentral:lncRNA from 1 species